rnacentral:tRNA from 1 species
GGGAUUUAUAGGUUUAAUAAUAUUUUGCUAAAAUUUUUAUUUUGCGGUUCGAUUCCGUUAAUUUCUCG